UGCACCCUCGGUGAUCGGCCGGGGACGCAGAGCCGGCUGGGAGAGCUCCGGGUGCUGCUGCCAUCCAGAGGAACCUUCCCGGCCUGGAGAAACGGGCUGCCAGGAACCUCGGAAGGAUCGACAAGGAGGAAAGUCCUGCCCUUGGGGAGGAACAACCCCCGGCACCAGGAUGUGCCAUGGGAACAUGCCAGAGCUGGAGGACCCAGGAGAGCACUGAGUGGUGGAGUAGGAGUGUGGAAUUCAUUGGGAAUUCCUGGAUCGUGUCCAUCCGGGAGCAGAGCCUGCUUAGGGAAGGUCGGGAGAGGGAAGCACUGCCAUGGCUUCCCAACAUCUCCACCACCAUUCCCACCUCCAGGAGCCCAGGAACAGGAUUUGGGAGGGGAAUGAGGCCAGGGAAGAGCUGAUGAGCUGCCGGCACCUUUUCCUGGGUGUCUUCCAAUGAGUUGCAUGGCUGGA